UUCAAGCUUAAACAAGUGUAAAAUGUGCAUCUGAUAUUUCAUAGUUUUAUAAUCAACGUAAUACUUAGAAAAAGAAGUAAAUGUGCUCCACACGAGAAUACACGAGGUAGGAGAUACCCUUAGUUGAGCCCCAGGCUGCCUUUAGCAAGGCUUGCUGGAGCCGGAUUGGAUUGCAAUCUACCAAGGUCUGGAUAAAGUCUUUGGGAUAGUUUUCAUUUUGGGCAAUCUAUACAGACACUUUACCCCAAGACAUCCGUAAGGAAGCUUAAUUGCAGCUCUAAGUGGCAAUAAUGGCACGCGGCUAAGUCCAAUGUGGCGACCUUAGACCAGCCAAAUGAAGGCGAAGUGAAAAUUAAAGACAGCAAAUAAAAAGCGCCUUGAAAACGGAUGUCCACGCAAACUCGCCAACAAAAAGAUACAAAUUUAUCAUAGUAGCAACAUGAGCGUUUUUUACGCUUAUUUUAAAUAUAGAUAUAUUUUUUUUUA